AAGGGCCGGAUUAGUAGUUAGGUUGGUGACGGCCAGCGAAUACCUGGUUUUGUA
rnacentral:rRNA from 1 species